rnacentral:rRNA from 1 species
AAAAUUUUGAACGCACAUGCGGUGUUGAGUUGACUCGACGCCGCGUCUGUCUGAGGGUCGUUAC